UCAAUCGAUUAAUCGUUAGUACAAGGCCGAAAAUACAUGGACCACAAUUUCGCGGCCACGGAAUUCCGCCUGCUGUCAGUCCAAAGUGAGUUGAUAGAUCAGGUGGGCUUAUCAAGUGCAAUUUGACGUAAAAACGAAAAUAGGAAGAAAACCUGGUUUGAAAGUUAGAUCCAUAACAAACUGGAUGCUUUGAUGAUUUUUAUAUGGACUCACUCCUAAGGGCUUGGUACUUGUUUCGACGCAGCGUAUCGCAACGCAUUGCGUGACGAACGCUGGUAUCUGUUCGUAGCGUUCUGCAUGGAUAUGUCAACACAUUUCACAAAGAAAAACAUCAACAAACAGCAAUAAUGCCUCUUAUUUAUAGGUUCUGAUGUGAUUAUAAUGUUAAAUUACAACUGUAAAAUCAUUUCCAGUUCUGCUCAAAACAGUGCAAAGCAUGUUUUCGCUUUAUUAUUGCACAUUGCAUACUGACCCGCACACACCUGUUUUGCAGCAAUUACGAAAUUACUUUCUCUACAUUUAUUUUGUUUUGUUAAUAAAAUUAUUUAGUAGUCCAAUUACACGUCCAAUUGCGCUCGAAACAAUUUAACGUGAAAAAAUAUCGAUUUUCACCCGAUAUGAUUGAACCAUUUUGACAGACGCAUCACGACGUGCGUCGAAAUAGAAAUUUUUCUACUUUGACGCUGCGUCCCCAUACAAAUCCCAUACAUUUUGGCAAAAUCGUAACGCAUUGCGUCGGAACAAGUACUCGAUAUCAAGAUGAGAUCAAUCGGUGGUCUGUUGAACAGGGCCAAAGGAGAUAUGCGCAGGCACUCUGAUAAAUUCAGUAUAAAAUCAUAUUUGGUUCGGUUGGUACAUUGCUCCUUACUUGCCAGAAUUAUUGAUCUGCCAGAAAGGAUUCAAUAAUUGUUGCCUAUGUAUCAGAUUCGGCGAGAGAAAUGAUCUUUUUUGGAAUAUAUAGUCUUCAAAUCUUCGUUUUAAUCCAUGAACAAGCCGUCAUGUUUUUUUGGCUUCUUUCUUCGUGCUAUGCCUGAGUAAAACCACAGACCAUUCCUACGAGAUAUCGUUUCAACUGCAUAGCAUACUAGAUUUUGUUAUGGAACAAACCGUCAAAUUGUGGUUCGGUAUUGGUGAGAAAGAACACCAUAAGCCCACCUGAUCAAGGUGUAUGUAUUUAGAAGGUUGAUUUUUAUCGCUUUUGAUGGGCGACAUUGUGGGAGACAUAUGUCAUAUCCCUGCAUACAAAAUUUCACUACCCCUCACCAGCCCUCCCCGAAUUUUUCAGCAAGCGGAAUUCCGCGACCGUGAAAUUCCUGUCCGUGUAUUUUCGGCCUAAUAUUAUUUUAAUCAAUAACUAUAGGUUGAACAACUGUUCAUGAACAAAAAUCAAUUUCGAAAAUAACACUAGACACUACAGAGCUGCACAAAAAAUUGGUGGCCCACUGCAACCAAUUUGUUCGCUGUCGCUGAAAAUGUUCGCUGUACGUUUGAACAGCUGUCACAUUUAUACGCACGGUUAAGCCGCCCGCCGGUUAAUCCGCCUCCGGAUAAUCGACCUUGUACUGUAUGUUGUGUCUCAUUAUGCACGGACAUUUUGAUCUUCAAAAAUGGUAGUCUAAAAGCUGCCAUGGUGUUUGAAAACUAAAAUGGCAAAGCUAUGAUUCAUUAGGAGCACACCUUGUUUUGAACAUAACAGGGGAUUAUUCUGUCAUAAUAAGGCGCGUUUGUUUUUAUUCUGCUUCUCAUUGUUUUGGAUAUCCCUGUCCUUGGCCUUAAUCUGCUCCUAUAAGUGUUUCUCUUUAUCAUUCCGACCUGCUGAAAAUCCAUCUGUGAAGAAACUUUUUUAAGCGAUAAGUGUUUCAACAAAACGGAAUACCUUACCGAUGUUGUAUGAGUGAAGCAUAAGCUAUAAUCGGGUGUUGUGAUGUGGUGCUAGCAAACUGACCGAAAAGAGAUGCGGGAACAUUUGUGGUGAUAUAUUUACUUCUAUGGAACCGUGUUGCUAUAUGAUUUUAUUGUCAGAUAAAGUGACUGCCUUGAUCUUGUGAGAAAUCUACAUAUUUACGGAGCACCUUUCAUUUGUUCUAAAACUUAGACGAGUUUCUAAAAACAACUGCGCGUCAAAAAUUGUCACGGAGAACUCCAGAUAUGGCAGAUGCAAACAAGAUUACUGAAUCAGACAAUGCAAAAAGCAGCAACGCAUCGUCACAAAAUCAAGAAGGAAGCUACUCUGCUGCAAUUACCAGUUCAACAUCAACUGACGCGAAUUCCCGUUCACGCGUUGUUAUAAAACCAGCAAUUUUGGCUGUGCAAAAAAAGUUGCUAGCUUCAUCCAGAUCCGAUGCAAUUCCAUCACAAUCACGUUCCAUUUCACCAAACCCUCCUAGAACACCGAAACGUUCUCCACCUUCUUUAUCCAACAGUGAUUUUUCAAACCAUGCACCAGCUCGCCAAAAACCUGCACUGCCACCCAAACCUAAAUGGAUAAAUCCAGCUGAAGCAGCUCCAUCAACCUCUUUGCCUUUUUCCGGUUUAUCACAGCAGGAAAGAAUAGAACAAAAAAUAGAUAUGGUCGUUAAAAUGCUACAAGAACUGGCUCCACAGCUAGAAAUCAUUAUGAACAAUGUGGAAAGAGACAAUUUUAAUUUGUUAUUAGAAAUGGAAGAAGAUUAAAAAAUUAAUAGUAAAUUUUGUUAGACAAACAGUUGCCAUAAGCUUAAAUAGAGGGUCACCAGCAAUUGAAAUGGAUCAGAUAUUAAACAUACGGGUAUCUCUAGACUAAGAAAUAAAAAAAAUUCUUCUUGUUCAGAAAAA